GUGAGCUAGUGAGCUGUAUAUAUCCCGGUUUUUAAGCAGUGCUCGCCCGCCAGCGCGGAGCGGCUCCUUCCCAGACCUGCCCCAGGUGCCCCUUUUUAUGACAAUAAAAACAGAGUGAACCUUGAGAAAAGGAUACAGGAGACAAGAAACAAGGACUGAAUAUCUUG